GAAAUGCCUCCCACCCCCCAUGUGAGGGAUACCACCAGGAAGAUUCAGGCACAGAAAGCGUUUCAGACUGGCACCUCUAAUGUUUCAAUGGGGUGAACACAACACAACACAACAAUGGGAUGACCUCGAAAGGCCCGUUGCAUAUGCAAGUCGGAAGCUCCUACCUGCUGAAACAAGCCAAUGGACAGAGAUGAUGAAAGUCUUUCCAUCAAGAAGAUGCUUCUGGAUACACUUUUAUAUAUAUAAAAAUUUGUCAAAGCAUAUCUAUGAAACACAUCAUUUGAUCAGAUGCUUAAGAAGCCAGUAACCACACCAGAGAAAGCAAUCAGAAAUAUACAUUUUAUAUCUUACAUAUUCUGAGCAAUUCAAAUACAUUUAAAACAAAUAAGCUACCAUGCAGAUGCUACAAUUAAAGGGUCAAUAAACAUCACUUCUAACGGUAAUUGGUUGUUUUCAAACACUUACCCACUUAGAAGCAGGUUAUAGCAACAAAUUUACCACACAGGCAGCUAAAUCAAUUAUCAGGGGAAAAAAGUCAUUAGCAAGCUGGGGGCGCUAUUUUAAACCAGGAACUGAAACACUCCUAGUAAUCUAGUAACCUCAUCUCGGCAGGCUGUCAAGCUUUGGAUGCUUUUACUGCUUUAUUUUAUCUUAGGUCAAUACUUCCCAAUGUUUUCCUCAGCAUGAACCCCUUGCUCCCAACCCACAGUCCCCCACCAUAGUGCUCGAACCCCAGCUGCCACCCAUUGGAGGUGGCAACUGCUGCAAUGCGAGUACAGUGCAGAGUCCAGCUCUACGCCCUGGCCCCCAAGGCCAGAGUGGAUGCAGGCUGCCUGCUGUGGGCUCAGGGCUCCCUGUCCUGCUGUCCUCACCCUGAGAGCUUCUGCGGACCAGUGGGCGAGACCUGUCCCCCCUUGCCCACCUAGCAGCAGUGGCAUGGAGUUGCACCCCCCUCUGCUGAUAGGCAGGCUGGGGGCACCCUGGCAGGGAGGCACAGCUGAUGAGGUAAUAGUGGCACCAAGCCUCCCCACCCCACUCUACUGCAGAGUCCCCCGGGUGGGAAAUGGCUGCAGGGAGAGAAGUCCCGAACCCACAUCCGCCCCAGCCCUGUGCACAAGUCUGGGGUGCACAUGCCCCUCCAUGCCUCCCUUCCCCAGGACUGACUCUGCCACUGCGCACACCUCUCCCUCCAGCCACCCCUGGCUCUAUCCUGCUCCCUUAGCUGGGCCCUGUAUUCCCAGCCCAACUCAGGGCCCCAGGCACCAGCCCUGCUGGGCAGCACCCCAGCCCCACCCCACUCCCUCACCAUGGGGGCCUCAAUCUGCCCUCCCCACCCCAUAGACUUAUCUGCAGGGAGCUGUGGGACCUGCUCCCUACACUGCCUGGCUGUCACAUGCAUGUGUGCAGAUGCACAUGGCACCCCCUGCCUGAUUGCCCUUCUUCCACUCCCCCCAGCUCCAAGCAGCCCCUUGCAGUCUGCAAUUUUGACAGCGUGCAAGGGGAACAUGCCAUUUCCUGCUUUUUUCUCCUCUAAAAGGAGAAAAUCUGUGAUCCCUGCAACCCCAUUUUUUUUUAAUCACUGCAACCCCAAAUGGAGUCGUGACCCCAAAGGCUGGGAACUGCUAGCCCAUGUUUGCUUCCGGCGUUUGGUCCUUUGCCUAUUCCCACAGGGAACACCUGGACUAUUUACUUAUCUUUCCUUUUUAUACACCCAGUGCAGGACUCCAGGCAGCCUUGGGGCUCCAACCCUGAGCACGGGGGCAGAUGGAGAACAGUGCAGCAGUAACAGGAGAGAGUGACCCUUUAUUAGUUCUGCACAGGCUUUAGACCAAGGAAACCUCAAGACUGGGAAAACGCAAGGCUGCGACGCCACCUCCUGGUGCCAGCACCAAAGCACUGGUUAAACUGGAGCUCCACCGCGAGAGGCCGGGGCGACCUGUGAACUCCGAGGCGCAGCCUUGGCCGGGCCCUGUCCCGUCCCAGCGGGUGGAGGCGGCCAACGGCCGCG